UACAGAGGUGGCAAGCGUUGUUCGGAAUUACUGGGCGUAAAGGGCGCGUAGGCGGCCUUCUAAGUCAGACGUGAAAUCCCCAGGCUUAACUUGGGAACUGCGUCUGAUACUGGGAGGCUUGAAUGCGGGAGAGGGAGGUGGAAUUCCAGGUGUAGCGGUGAAAUGCGUAGAUAUCUGGAGGAACACCGGUGGCGAAGGCGGCGUUCUGGACUGCAACUGACACUGAUGAACGAAAGCCAGGGGAGCAAACGGG
rnacentral:rRNA from 1 species